rnacentral:rRNA from 1 species
CUAUACAUGCAAGUCGAGCGGACAGAUGGGAGCUUGCUCCCUGAUGUUAGCGGCGGACGGGUGAGUAACACGUGGGUAACCUGCCUGUAAGACUGGGAUAACUCCGGGAAACCGGGGCUAAUACCGGAUGGUUGUUUGAACCGCAUGGUUCAAACAUAAAAGGUGGCUUCGGCUACCACUUACAGAUGGACCCGCGGCGCAUUAGCUAGUUGGUGAGGUAACGGCUCACCAAGGCAACGAUGCGUAGCCGACCUGAGAGGGUGAUCGGCCACACUGGGACUGAGACACG